GCUGGCGGCAGGCCUAACACAUGCAAGUCGAACGGAGUUAUAUUGUAGCUUGCUAUGGUAUAACUUAGUGGCAGACGGGUGAGUAAUGUAUAGGAAUCUACCUAGUAGUACGGAAUAAUUGUUGGAAACGGCAACUAAUACCGUAUACGCCCUACGGGGGAAAAAUUUAUUGCUAUUAGAUGAGCCUAUAUUAGAUUAGCUAGUUGGUGGAGUAAUAGCCUACCAAGGCAAUGAUCUAUAGCUGAUCUGAGAGGAUGAUCAGCCACACUGGAACUGAGAUACGGUCCAGACUCCUACGGGAGGCAGCAGUGGGGAAUAUUGGACAAUGGGCGAAAGCCUGAUCCAGCCAUGCCGCAUGAGUGAAGAAGGCCUUUGGGUUGUAAAGCUCUUUUAGUGAGGAAGAUAAUGACGGUACUCACAGAAGAAGUCCUGGCUAACUCCGUGCCAGCAGCCGCGGUAAUACGGAGAGGGCUAGCGUUAUUCGGAAUUAUUGGGCGUAAAGGGCGCGUAGGCGGAUUAGUAAGUUAAAAGUGAAAUCCCAAGGCUCAACCUUGGAAUUGCUUUUAAAACUGCUAAUCUAGAGAUUGAAAGAGGAUAGAGGAAUUCCUAGUGUAGAGGUGAAGUUCGUAAAUAUUAGGAGGAACACCAGUGGCGAAGGCGUCUAUCUGGUUCAAAUCUGACGCUGAGGCGCGAAGGCGUGGGGAGCAAACAGGAUUAGAUACCCUGGUAGUCCACGCUGUAAACGAUGAAUGUUAAAUAUGGGAAGUUUUACUUUCUGUAUUACAGCUAACGCGUUAAACAUUCCGCCUGGGGACUACGGUCGCA
rnacentral:rRNA from 1 species